rnacentral:rRNA from 1 species
AAGUCCAAAGUAAUAAGGGCAUACGGUGGAUGCCUAGCCAGCUGGAAGCGAAGAAGGACGUGGUAAGCUGCGAAAAGCUGUGGGGAGCUGCAAAC